GACGAACGCUGGCGGCGUGCUUAACACAUGCAAGUCGAACGGAAAGGCCCUGCUUGCAGGGUACUCGAGUGGCGAACGGGUGAGUAACACGUGGGUGAUCUGCCCUGCACUUCGGGAUAAGCCUGGGAAACUGGGUCUAAUACCGGAUAGGAGCCAUUUUUAGUGUGAUGGUUGGAAAGUUUUUUCGGUGUAGGAUGAGCUCGCGGCCUAUCAGCUUGUUGGUGGGGUAACGGCCUACCAAGGCGGCGACGGGUAGCCGGCCUGAGAGGGUGGACGGCCACAUUGGGACUGAGAUACGGCCCAGACUCCUACGGGAGGCAGCAGUGGGGAAUAUUGCACAAUGGGCGCAAGCCUGAUGCAGCGACGCCGCGUGGGGGAUGACGGCCUUCGGGUUGUAAACUCCUUUCGCUAGGGACGAAGCUUUUUGUGACGGUACCUAGAGAAGAAGCACCGGCUAACUACGUG
rnacentral:rRNA from 1 species